rnacentral:tRNA from 1 species
GGCACGGUGGUGCAGUGGGUAGCACUGUCGCCUCACAGCAAGUAGGGUUCAAAUCCGGCCUGGGCCU